UACGGAGGGGGCGAGCGUUAUUCGGAAUUAUUGGGCGUAAAGGGCGCGUAGGCGGCCCGGUAAGUCAAAGGUGAAAGCCCACGGCUCAACCGUGGAAGUGCCUUUGAUACUGCGAGUCUCGAGGGAGGUAGGGGCGUGCGGAACUUCCGGUGGAGCGGUGAAAUGCGUAGAUAUCGGAAGGAACAUCGGUGGCGAAAGCGGCGCGCUGGACCUCUUCUGACGCUGAGGCGCGAAAAGCCAGGGGAGCAAACGGGG
rnacentral:rRNA from 1 species